rnacentral:rRNA from 1 species
GACGAACGCUGGCGGCGUGCUUAACACAUGCAAGUCGAACGGAAAGGCCCUGCUUUUGUGGGGCGCUCGAGUGGCGAACGGGUGAGUAACACGUGAGUAACCUGCCCUUGACUUUGGGAUAACUUCAGGAAACUGGGGCUAAUACCGGAUAGGAGCUCCUGCUGCAUGGUGGGGGUUGGAAAGUUUCGGCGGUUGGGGAUGGACUCGCGGCUUAUCAGCUUGUUGGUGGGGUAGUGGCUUACCAAGGCUUUGACGGGUAGCCGGCCUGAGGGGGUGACCGGCCACAUUGGGACUGAGAUACGGCCCAGACUCCUACGGGAGGCAGCAGUGGGGAAUAUUGCACAAUGGGCGGAAGCCUGAUGCAGCAACGCCGCGUGCGGGAUGACGGCCUUCGGGUUGUAAACCGCUUUCGCCUGUGACGAAGCGUGAGUGACGGUAAUGGGUAAAGAAGCACCGGCUAACUACGUG